rnacentral:tRNA from 1 species
CCUUCGAUAGCUCAGUUGGUAGAGCGGUGGACUGUAGAUGUGUCAACAAGAAAUCCAUAGGUCGCUGGUUCAAAUCCGGCUCGAAGGA